CCUACGGGUGGCAGCAGUGAGGAAUAUUGGUCAAUGGACGAGAGUCUGAACCAGCCAAGUCGCGUGCAGGAUGACUGCCCUAUGGGUUGUAAACUUCUUUUAUAAAGGAGUAAACCGAGGCACGUGUGUCUUUUUGCAUGUACUUUAUGAAUAAGGAUCGGCUAACUCCGUGCCAGCAGCCGCGGUAAUACGGAGGAUCCGAGCGUUAUCCGGAUUUAUUGGGUUUAACGGGAGCGUAGGUGGGUUGUUAAGUCAGUUGUGAAAGUUUGCGGCUCAACCGUAAAAUUGCAAUUGAUACUGGCAGUCUUGAGUACAGUUGAGGUAGGCGGAAUGCGUGGUGUAGCGGUGAAAUGCUUAGAGAUCACGAAGAACCCCGAUUGCGAAGGCAGCUUACUAAACUGUGACUGACAUUGAUGCACGAAAGUGUGGGGAGCAAACAGGAUUAGAUACCCCUGUAGUC
rnacentral:rRNA from 1 species